rnacentral:rRNA from 1 species
GUAGUUUGAUCCUGGCUACAGGACGAACGCUGGCGGCGUGCUUAACACAUGCAAGUCGAACGGGGAUCAGAGUGGAAGUCCUUCGGGGUGGAAACUUUGAUUCCAGUGGCGGACGGGUGAGUAACGCGUGAACAAUCUGUCCCAGACAGGGGGAUAACACUUGGAAACAGGUGCUAAUACCGCAUGAGACCACGGAAUCGCAUGAUUCAGGGGUAAAAGGAGGAAUCCGGUUUGGGGUGAGUUCGCGUCCGAUUAGAUAGUUGGUGAGGUAACGGCCCACCAAGUCGACGAUCGGUAGCCGACCUGAGAGGGUGAACGGCCACAUUGGAACUGAGAGACGGUCCAAACUCCUACGGGAGGCAGCAGUGGGGAAUAUUGGGCAAUGGGCGAAAGCCUGACCCAGCAACGCCGCGUGAGUGAAGAAGGCUUUCGGGUUGUAAAGCUCUGUUAUAGGGGACGAAGUGCGUGACGGUACCCUAUAAGGAAGCCCCGGCUAACUACGUGCC